rnacentral:rRNA from 1 species
CCUACGGGGUGCUGCAGUGAGGAAUAUUGGUCAAUGGGCGGAAGCCUGAACCAGCCAAGUCGCGUGAAGGAAGACGGUGCUAUGGAUUGUAAACUUCUUUUGCCAAGGGGCAAAAACCGGUACGUGUACCGCAUCGAGAGUACCCGGAGAAAAAGCAUCGGCUAACUCCGUGCCAGCAGCCGCGGUAAUACGGAGGAUGCGAGCGUUAUCCGGAUUUAUUGGGUUUAAAGGGUGCGCAGGCGGCGAGUUAAGUCAGCGGUAAAAUUCCGGGGCUCAACCCCGACGAGCCGUUGAAACUGGCUGGCUUGAGAGGGCGAGAGGUAUGCGGAAUGCGUAGUGUAGCGGUGAAAUGCAUAGAU